ensembl:lncRNA
UAGCUGGCUAUGCAAAACUUGUGGGUCUCGAGUCUUCACUGAUCUUCACUCAAGAGAGGCACAGCUGAGAACUUCUCCUGCUGUCCCUCUUGGUCCCUCCUGCCAAGGCCUGCCUAUCCCUGCUAGGUCAUGCCACCACUUCUGAUUUAUGUUUGCUAUUCUGGCUCUAACCAAACUGGACUGCUAGUAUAUCCGUAAAGUGUUUGCGAGUGGAUUGAGCAGCCGCUGCUAAUCUGUGAACUGAACUGCUGAUUUCCAGACAACAGAGAUGGGACUUGCUCCAAAGAACCUGUAUCCUUUCUUCGGUUUGGGAAUGUGCAUGAACAUGUAUGAGAGUGCAGGUAUACACAUGCCUCAGCAUGGAGAUCAGAGGACAACCUCAGGAGCCAGUCCUUGCUACUUAACUGCCACGUUUUUUUUCAAACACUUCUCUUCAUGUUCACUGCUGAGUGUGCCAGACUAGCUUAGCCACAAGAAUCCAUGGAUUCUCCCAUCUGUUUCUCCUACCCCACUAUAGAAACUAGGAUUAAAGACUCGGGCUACUACAUAGGCUUUUAACCUGACUCUAGGGAUUGGAAUCCAGAUCCUUACGCAUGAAGCACUGUAGUGGGAAUUUUGUUUACUUUAAAAACCCAAUUAUGUUAUGUAUGUUUUCUUUGCUUUAAUGCAAGGUCUGGGAUGUGGGUUUUCUUCAGUUUGUUCGCAGCCAUUAACUAUGAUUGUCUAGUGCUCUCAGAGGGGCAUAAUUUUUGUCAGCUGCAAAUAGUUUAAUUCUGGGGACAAUGGAGAAGGAAUUGAUGCCAUAAACUGGAAAGGAUCAGUAGAUGCUCAGAAGAAGAGGAGGAGGAGGAAGAAAAAGAAAUCCAGCCCUACAAAGGAUAAUAGAUGGAAAACUCCAACACAAGGAGGGAAACAACACCCUAGAAUAAGCAAGAAAGUAAUCUCCAGCCAUUUGCCUACGAAUUUCAUAAAGUCGUUGUUUUUGAUAGCUGAGUAAUAUUCCAUUGUGUAGAUGUACCACAUUUUCUGUAUCCAUUCCUCUGUUGAAGGGCAUCUGGGUUCUUUCCAGCUUCUGGCUAUUAUAAAUAAGGCUGCA